CCUAGAUUUCCUGUUCUUUCGGAGUUGGCUCGUGAUGUGUUGGCUAUUCCGGUUUCUAGUGUGGCAUCAGAAUGUGCAUUUAGUACCGGUGGACGUAUUCUUGAUCCAUUUAGAAGUUCAUUGACUCGUAAAUGUGUGCAAUCUCUUAUUUGUGCCCAAGAUUGGCUUAGAGAAGAGACUAAACCCGUUAGUGUGGAAGAAAGUUUGGAGUAUCUUGAGCAACUUGAACUUGAGAUAGCAAAUAGUGGAAGAGAUCCUUGCAUUGUUGAUGUUUGAUUUAGGGAGUUUGAUUGCAAUUUGCUACUAGUGUUCAACAAUGCCUCUUAAUGCUCGCUCACAUGUUUGGGAAUAUUUUGCGGUAGUUCAAGACAAUGAAGAAGGGCAUAAAUUAAGGUGCUUGACAUGUCGUAUGAUACUUAAAUAUAAUUCAAGAGUGAAUGGCACAGGUUCCU